rnacentral:rRNA from 1 species
CCCAGACUCCUACGGGAGGCAGCAGUGAGGAAUAUUGGUCAAUGGGCGAGAGCCUGAACCAGCCGAGUCGCGUGAGGGAAGACGGUCCUAUGGAUUGUAAACCUCUUUUGCCGGGGAGCAAAAAGCGGUACGUGUACCGCAUCGAGAGUACCCGGAGAAAAAGCAUCGGCUAACUCCGUGCCAGCAGCCGCGGUAAUACGGAGGAUGCGAGCGUUAUCCGGAUUUAUUGGGUUUAAAGGGUGCGCAGGCGGGAGAUCAAGUCAGCGGUAAAAUGUCGGGGCUCAACCCCGGCCGGCCGUUGAAACUGGUUUUCUAGAGUUGGAGAGAAGUAUGCGGAAUUCGUGGUGUAGCGGUGAAAUGCAUAGAUAUCACGAAGAACUCCGAUUGCGAAGGCAGCAUACCGGCUCCAUACUGACGCUGAGGCACGAAAGCGUGGGGAUCGAACAGGAUUAGAUACCCGCGUACAA